rnacentral:rRNA from 1 species
CUACGUGCCAGCAGCCGCGGUAAUACGUAGGUGGCAAGCGUUGUCCGGAAUUAUUGGGCGUAAAGCGCGCGCAGGCGGAUUGGUCAGUCUGUCUUAAAAGUUCGGGGCUUAACCCCGUGAUGGGAUGGAAACUGCCAAUCUAGAGUAUCGGAGAGGAAAGUGGAAUUCCUAGUGUAGCGGUGAAAUGCGUAGAUAUUAGGAAGAACACCAGUGGCGAAGGCGACUUUCUGGACGAAAACUGACGCUGAGGCGCGAAAGCCAGGGGAGCGAACGGGAUUAGAUACCCCGGUAGUCCGCACAGUAAACGAUGGAUGCCCGCUGUUAGCGCCUGGCGUUAGCGGCUAAGCGAAAGCAUUAAGCAUCCCACCUGGGGAGUACGCCGGCAACGGUGAAACUCAAAGGAAUUGACGGGGGCCCGCACAAGCGGAGGAACAUGUGGUUUAAUUCGAUGAUACGCGAGGAACCUUACCCGGGAUUGAA